rnacentral:rRNA from 1 species
GACGAACGCUGGCGGCGUGCCUAAUACAUGCAAGUUGAGCGCUGAAGGUUGGUACUUGUACCAACUGGAUGAGCAGCGAACGGGUGAGUAACGCGUGGGGAAUCUGCCUUUGAGCGGGGGACAACAUUUGGAAACGAAUGCUAAUACCGCAUAAAAACUUUAAACACAAGUUUUAAGUUUGAAAGAUGCAAUUGCAUCACUCAAAGAUGAUCCCGCGUUGUAUUAGCUAGUUGGUGAGGUAAAGGCUCACCAAGGCGAUGAUACAUAGCCGACCUGAGAGGGUGAUCGGCCACAUUGGGACUGAGACACGGCCCAAACUCCUACGUGAGGCAGCAGUAGGGAAUCUUCGGCAAUGGACGAAAGUCUGACCGAGCAACGCCGCGUGAGUGAAGAAGGUUUUCGGAUCGUAAAACUCUGUUGGUAGAGAAGAACGUUGGUGAGAGUGGAAAGCUCAUCAAGUGACGGUAACUACCCAGAAAGGGACGGCUAACUACGUG